GGAGGGAGACUCAGUGGGAAGAGUAGUCGUCUUGCAAUCAGAAGGUUGUGGGUUCGAUUCCAGCCUCCUUCUG